ensembl:lncRNA
AAAUAAAGCUGAGUGCCGAAGAACUGAUGCUUUUGAACUAUGGUGUUGGAGAAGACUUGAGAGUCCCUUGGACUGCAAGGAGAUCAAACCAGUCGAUUCUAAAGGAAAUUCUGAAUAUUCAUUGGAAGGACUGAUGCUGAAGCUGAAAUUCCAGUACUUUGACCACCUGAUGCGAAGAAUUGACUCAAUGGAAAAGACCCUGAUGCUGGGAAAGAUUGAAGGCAGGAGAAGGGGGCAAUAGAGGAUGAGGUGGUUGGAUGGCAUCACCAACUCAAUGGACAUGAGUUUGUGUAAACUGCAAGAGUUGGUGAUGGACAGAGAGGCCUGGUGUGCUGCAGUCCAUGGGGUCACAAAGAAUCGGACACAACUGAGUGGCUGAACUGAACUGAACUGAGAAAAUAAGAUAAUUCUAUGAGUAUAAUAUCUCAGAUCGCAGUUAUCUUCAUAUUUUCUGUCUUAAAAAAGGAUACACACAACUGGGAGGGCAAGAACCUGUGUGAACCCCAGGGCUGUGGGCCGAGGGCAACCAGGCCCUGGGCAGCUCCUGCAUGUGCCCUGAGGUAUGGUCUCCUUGGACUCACAGCCAGUACUUGGCCUGGACGAAUGACCUUCAGUUAGAUUAUGAUGUAAAGAGAACACAGAAUAUCCAGAGGCCCGGGGCAGUGAAGGUGGCCCUGGGGACAGGAAAGGGAGCCUGCAGUGCGUCCUUCUCUGACCGUGAGGACCGGUCCUGGCCUCCUCUGACGGGGCAGAACAUCCUUCCAACACUCCAGCCCCUUUGUGUGUGAAGCAGAGACCGAAAUAGCAGCACAGAUGAAAGCAAACCACAAAACAGCCCUGUCUUCAUGGCUUCCUUCCUGCUGCUUCUGAACCCGCCGCACUGCCGCGCACUGGUUGGAUAAAAAAGGUUUCCGCGGGGCUGGAUUUAAAUAGAAAGGAAGACUGUUGCACAGCUUUAAAACGAAAAGAGUAGAAGAUGAUAUAGAAAAGGCAGAGGGAACCUAAUUAUGUCUACAUAUACUGCCAGAAAGACAUGCAGGAAGACGCUCACGAGUCCAGAGUCUGCCACGCACGGUGCUGGACCAGCUCUCAGAACUGGGGCUCCAACUUCACAGGUGGACAACUGUGGACAAGACCCCACCCACCCACUUCACACCUUGGGUUCCUCACUGCAGACAGAAAGAAUCGGAGCGUCACCCUCACGGCUGUGGAGGGGUUUUAAUGGGACAAUGUACAUGCCAACCACACAGCACUUAAUGCCUGCUAGGAACCCACCCUUUUUGUCCUUAUCAGUAUAAAUGUGUACAAAAGUCAGAAGAUGCAAGCUUAGCAAGCACUAGGAAAACUUCCUGAGAUACCAACUUUUUCUCAAAUAAAUGCCUUCCCCC